rnacentral:rRNA from 1 species
CCUGGUUGAUAUUGCCAGAAGCAUAUGCUUGUCUCAAAGAUUAAGUCAUGCACAUGUACACACGGCCGGUACAGUAAAACUGCGAAUGGCUUAUUAACUCAGUUAUGGUUCCUUUCAUCACUCUGUUACUUUGAUGACAGUGGUAAUUCUAGAGAUAAUACAUUCCAACGAGCUCUGACCUCCUGGGAUACAUGGCUUUAUCAGAACAAUUUGGGCUUGCUCGGCCGCUUUGGUGACUCUAUAUAACCUCAGGCUGAUCGCACAUCUCUGUAAUGAUACAUAUGGAUGUCUGCCCUAUCAAGGUUUUAUGGUACUUUCUGUUCUAUCAUGGGGACCACGGGUAAUGGGGAAUAAGGGUUUGAUUCCAGAGAGGGAGCCUGAGAAACAAUUACUACAUCUAAGGAAGGAAGCAGGCAUGCAAAUUACCCACCCCCGACUCGGGAAGGUAGUAACAAAAAAUAGCAAUUCAGGACUCUUUGAAGGCCCUGUAAUUGGAAUGAGCACACUUUAAAUCCUUUAAUGAGAAUCCAUUGGAGGGAAGUCUGGUUCCAGCAUCCGUGCUAAUUCCAGCUCCAAUAGCGUACAUUAAAGUUGCUGCAUGUUAAAAAGCUCAUAGUUGAAUCUUGAGCUGGAACUGGCAGUACGCUGUGAAUUGAGCUACCACCUAGCCCAGAACCUGACUCUUGGUGCCCCCAUAAUGCUCUUGACUGAGUGAAUUGGGUGUCGUAAGCGUGUACUUUGAAAAAAAACAUGAGUGUUUAAAGCUGGCCGGUCACCUGAAUACUUCAACUAGAAAUAAUGGAAUAGGACUCCGGUUCCAUUUUGUUGGAACUGGGGCAAUGAUUAAGGGGGACAGCCGGGGGCAUUCAUAUAGUGCCACUUGCAUUCUUGGACGGGCGCAAGACCAACCAAAGUGAAAGCAUUUGCCAAGAAUGUUUUUAUUAAUCAAGAACCAAAGUCGGAGGGUCAAAGACAAUCAAAUAUAGCCGUCGUUCCCAUCAAAAACGAUGCUGAUUAGUGAUCCAGCAGUUUUAUUCACAUGACCGUCAAGCAGUUUCUGGCAAACCAAAGACUUUGGCUUCCGUGGGCAGUAUGGUUGCAAACCUGAAACUUAAGGAAUUGAUGGAAGGGCACCACCAGGAUUGGAGCCUGUGGCUUAAUUUCACUCAACAUGGAAAACAUUGCCUGGACACGGAAAGAUUGACAGAUUGAUGGCUCUUUCUUGAUUCAAUGGGUGGUGGUGCAUGGCUGUUCUUAGUUGGUGGAGCGAUUUGUCUGGCAAAUUUCGAUGAUGAAUAAGACUAGUUACGCGACCCCCAGUGCUGGGUGUUCAACUUCUUAGGGGGACAAAUGGCAUUCAGCCACUCGAGAUCAAGUAAUAACAAGUAUUUGAUGGCCUUAUGUGUCUGGGGCAGGACGCGCACUCCACUAAAAGAAUCAGCGUGUGUUGGCCCUUCGCCAACAGGUGCGUGUAAACUGCUGAAUCCCGUUCAUGAUAGGGACUGGGAUUGCAAAUAUUCCACAUGAACUAGGAAUUCUCAGUAAGUGCAGAUAAUAAGCUCACGUUGAUUAAGUCUCUGCUUUUUGUACACACCGCCCGUCGCUACUACCGAUUGGAUGGUUUAGUGAGGUCCUCGGAUCGGCCCCGCCGGGGUCGGCAACGUCCCUGGCAGAGCGCAGAUAAGAUGAUAAAACUUGACUAUCUAGAAGAAGUAAAAGGUGUAACAAGGUUUCCGUAGGUGAACUUGUGGAAG